rnacentral:rRNA from 2 species
UUGGAGGGAAGUCUGGUGCCAGCAGCCGCGGUAAUUCCAGCUCCAAUAGCGUAUAUUAAAGUUGUUGCAGUUAAAAGCUCGUAGUUGAAUUUCGGGGUCUGUCCUUGGUCGGGCUUCACGGUCCGCACUGGUGUGAUGGGUUCCUACCUUCUGAAUAACCAGCAUGCCAUUCAGUUGGUGCGUUGGGGAAGCAGAGCUAUUACCUUGAAAAUUAGAGUGUAAAGCAGGCUAGUGCUUGAAUAGAUUAGCAUGGAAUAAAAAUAGGACGGCAUGGUUCUAUUUUGUUGGUUUCUAGGAUCGCCGUAAUGAUUAAUAGGGAUAGUUGGGGGCAUUAGUAUUCAAUUGUCAGAGGUGAAAUUCUUGGAUUUAUUGAAGACUAACUUCUGCGAAAGCAUUUGCCAAGGAUGUUUUCAUUAAUCAAGAACGAAAGUUAGGGGAUCGAAGACGAUCAGAUACCGUCGUAGUCUUAACCAUAAACUAUGCCGACUAGGGAUCGGACGAUGUUAAUUUUUUAAUGACUCGUUCGGCGCCUUACGGGAAAC